GUUCCUGGAAUGGGGAAAACAGUGGGAAGGGGGGACAUGUGGAGGAACCCACAACAGCUGGAUGAGCUGGGAGGACUGAAAGAAUCUGGGGUGGAGAAAGGGUUGGGUGGAUAUGGGGGAAAUGAGAAAGAACAAUUUGUGGCUCUUCCUUUUAGAAUGACUGAAAGGAAAAGAGAAGUGUGAAAGGUGUCUGCUCACAGCCUUCCCCCACUUUCUCCUGCUUCUCAAGGCUCAGGCUUCCUGCUCCUCUCCCCAGGGACCUGAGCGCUAAGGCAGGGGGAUGGACAGACCAAAGCUGUCACUCAUCCUCUCUUGGCAUGGAUUGGAAGAUCAUCCCCUCCUGAAAUGGAAGAGGUGGGUCUACUGGUGUAGAAGAAGUGAGCAAAAGCCACAUAGGGAUGAGCAUCUCUAGCAGAGAGCCUGGCUAGUGGACACACACAAAGGACUCAGCAGAGAACAAGUGAAAACAGAUGCUAUUUUUAUCAUUUCAUCACAUCACUUUCUAAAACAGGUUUGUCCUCAGUUUUACAGAUGAAGAAACAAAGGCUUGGAGAAGUAUGUAACUUAUCCAACGUUACACAACUGGUGAGUGGCAGAGCCCACCCAUCCUGUCUGCCCCAAAGCCCACGCUCUGGGGGAAGGCCAUGGGGUAAAGGCCCCUCCCACCUUUGUUUCUUUUCCCAUGAAGCUGUACCAUUUUCCUUAGUUCCUGUGUACCUACAUCUGUGGCCCUGCAAGAGGACUGCUCAAUGCUGCCCAAUAUGCCACAAACCAUACAGAUGCAAAAGCAGAGACUGAUGCCACCAUGGAAGUCAGUGUUUCGAGAUUCAGCUGGUCCUUGGCUAUUGCCAGGAACCCUUUGGGCUGCCCUAAUAAGCUCUAUGCUUUGUUCUCAUGAAUUUUCCAGCUGUUUGCUCUCUCUUUUUAUAGCAGUUUCUUAGCCAACAACUUAUUAGAUUGAUUCAACAUAAUACACUUUGUACAGUUUAUGACUGUUAUCUCUGUAACCUUAAGCACACUGUUUAACCUCUCUCAAUUUUUUCUUAAAAGAUAUUUAUUUGCCUAGUAUUAUUGCUGAAAUAAAUCAUAAGACACAAUUUCA